AAAGGGUAGAAAUAUACAACAGGAAUUUAUAAUGGUAAUACACACUGAGCCUAUACAUAUACUUAGCAAUAAAGAAUAGAAAGCUAAACAACAAACAUCUUUACAAGUAUAUAUAUGCGCUUCAUUUUGGCAAAAAGAGUGCAGCUCCAACCAAGGCUAUCCAUAUUGUUAAAAUUGCCCAGAAUGAUUGGCUUUUCUCCAGACCAACUGGGGGCUUCCAGACCAGAAAGUCGCCCACCCAGUCCCUGCUUGAUGGAAGCUGAUUUGUUGUAGACCGACUUUGUCUUUCAUCUUGGUCCUUCUUUUUGUCGGUCCAUGAUCCAGCAUAACUAUCAUAGCUAGAACCAAUAAGCGGUAUAGUAACCAUUUCUUCUUGAGAUAUCUUCAACUUAGGUGCUUGCAAUAUAUAACGAAGCUCUGCAGCUUGACGUCGAAUGCUGAUGCUGGGAUGUUUCCUUUCUAGUUGCUUAUACAAAUCAAUGCAGUCUGAAUGGCGGUUAUUAGCUUCAUAAGCCAUAGCAAGCCAUAUUUGUAUCUCUCCACCAAACAAGGUUGGUCUCGGAAUGAUAGUAAGAGCACCUUCAAGGAACUCUAUUGCACGUCCAUACAUGCCCUUCCCAUAAGCCUUCUGGCCCAAAUCGAACAUUAAUUGAGCAGUUUUUCUGCGUUCCGAUUGUUCCUGUGCCACCUUUUCGAGCUCCCUUCGAACUCUUUCACGUUUCUCCUCCUCAGUUUCUUCACUGAUUUCAUCUUCUUCACCAUACUCCUCAUCAACACGAUUCUGCAAUUCCUCAGCUUUUUUCUCCAAUUCCUUCAUUUCCUCUAGCUCCUUAACUCUCCUCUUCAUUUCUUUCUCCCAAUCGAACUCUUCUCCUCCUCCUUCUCCACCUUCUCCUUCAUCUUCAACACCAUUUCCAUUCUCAUCAUCACUUGAAUUCUCAUAAUCAACCGCACCCACUUUCGAAUUCGCUUUACCCCGAAAACCCACUUUCGGAUUAACUCUUUCUCUUUCAUUUUCAAACCCACUAGAAAUAUACAUGCUCUGAUUCUGACAUGGGUCUUUCUUCACAAAAAAAUUCAACAGAACAUCCCUCGUUUUCCGAUCUGGUAACACUACAGCACGUGGAGUAGUCACGUGAGUUCCGUCAAGCAAUAGUGCUAUGUUUCCGACUACUACCGCCAUCUCCGAUUACUAUUCAA
rnacentral:misc_RNA from 1 species